GUGGGGAAUAUUGGGCAAUGGGGGGAACCCUGACCCAGCGACGCCGCGUGAAGGAAGAAGGCUUUCGGGUUGUAACCUUCUUUUAUGAGGGAAGAUAAUGACGGUACCUCAUGAAUAAGCCACGGCUAACUACGUGCCAGCAGCCGCGGUAAUACGUAGGUGGCAAGCGUUGUCCGGAUUUACUGGGUGUAAAGGGCGUGUAGGCGGGACUGCAAGUCAGAUGUGAAAUUUCGGGACUCAACCCCGAAACUGCAUUUGAAACUGUGGUGCUUGAGUAGCGGAGAGGCAGGCGGAAUUCCUAGGGUAGCGGUGAAAUGCGUAGAUAUUAGGAGGAACACCAGUGGCGAAGGCGGCCUGCUGGACGACAACUGACGCUGAGGCGCGAAAGCGUGGGGAGCAAACAGGAUUAGAAACCCUGGUAGUCC
rnacentral:rRNA from 1 species